UUUGGAUUUACUAGGAAACAGUACGUGUAUAUGCGCUAUGGGGCACACAUGCAUUAUAUAAGGAGCAGCAAUUCCCAGAGAAAAUAGUGUUUAAGAUGAUGCACAUAACUGACAAAAAUAAAGCAAUUGACCAAGGAAGAGAGAACAUGAGAUGGAACGUAUCAGAAAUGUGAAAGGAAAGGAAGAAAGGAAGAGGAACUGACUGGCAUGUUGUGAAACCUUCUCAAGGUAACUUACCAACAUUUCUAAAAAUUCUGAAAGUGUCAACUGUGGUAUGAGACCCCCAUAAACAAG
rnacentral:lncRNA from 1 species